CCCCUUCUGUCCUGGACUACCACCACGAAGACCUGGCUGAUUCCUCCUUAACCUGAACCGCAGGGCCUGGUCCGAUAUGCGGGCCACACACCGCUUGGUUUCUCCAGGAGAGGGUUCGCACUCUCGGCGUCUCCAGCACUGGAAGGACGCGCGGUCCGGAUCUCACCUAAACGUUGAUACGUCCCGGGAGUGAUGCACUGGCUUCCCCUGGUUGCCAUGGUGAUCGCCUCGGCCCUGCCCUUCCCUUACAGCCCUGUGACCAGAAUUGUCGCCGCAACGACGGAGACCAGCAGCGGUAGCCACGACGACGG
ensembl:lncRNA